UACGGAGGGGGCGAGCGUUAUUCGGAUUUACUGGGCGUAAAGGGCGCGUAGGCGGCAUGACAAGUCACUUGUGAAAUCUCCGGGCUUAACUCGGAACGGUCAAGUGAUACUGUCGCGCUAGAGUGCGGAAGGGGCAAUCAGAAUUCUUGGUGUAGCGGUGAAAUGCGUAGAUAUCAAGAGGAAUACCUGAGGUGAAGACGGGUUGCUAGGCCGACACUGACGCUGAAGCGCGAAAGCCAGGGGAGCAAACGGG
rnacentral:rRNA from 1 species